AAGAAAAUGGGGACUGGCAGCUAGGAAGGGGGGUGAGGCAGACACAAAGGGCAGGGAUUGCAAAUGGGAGCUGGCGGGAGGCGGGAAAGGAGACGCCAAGGGCAGGGCGCGGGAGAGAGGGAAGCUCCAGAAAGGAGGAGGUGGCGGAAGGCAGAAAACCCCGGCAGAGGAGGACUCCUUGGUUGGGCUGCCAAACUUUUCCGGACUGACUAGCCUCCCCUCCCCUCCCCUCCCCUUUUGCACUUAUUGAUGUAGAGACUGUAGAAGGCGAGUUUGUCCUAUUUGUCUCUGUGCCCUGCGUUCACAUUUGCAUGGGAGGUUUGGGGUUUGGAAGGGGGUCCCCCCUUUUAUCUAAAAGUAAAAGGGGGGGGGUGACUUCCUAAAUGCUGGCACAUUUGUUUGUUUUUUAAUGUGGUUUAAAUUUCCGUGGAGUAAUCCUCCCAACGAUUCAGUUUAUGGCUUUGGAAUUUUGUGCUGCCAAUAACAGUGCCGUCCUAAACAAGGCUGCUCGGAAUCUUAACGUGGUCUUUUCAACGAAGUAUAUUUCCAGGAAAAGCGUUCUUAGAUCGUGCUGGAAACCUGCUAUAGCGUUUGAAAUGGCAUUUAACUUCUUUCUAUUUAUUUCCUUCUGCCUGGCUCCCCAGUGGGAAUCUAAAGGUGCUCCUUGGUCCUUCUGCCUUCGAAUUUAUCCUGACAACAACCCUGUGAGGGAGAUUAGGUUGAGAGUGGUGAUUGAGCCAAGGUCACACAGCUUCCAUGGCAGAUUUGGGGGUUUGAAAGGGAUCCUCCCAGGUUGUAAUCUGACACUAACCACCUGAACUACACUGACUAGUUUUGUUUAUAACAUGGGAAAUUGCUGCACACCAGCUUCCUGCAAAAGUUACAGCAGUCUUUUUUCCCUUCUUGCUAACUGGCAGUCUUAUCUGAUCCCAGAAUGUAUCCUUAAAGUUUUCCUUCUAGCUGGAAGAACAAUAAAGGCAUCCCUGAAGAGGCAGGGUUUCCCCAAGCAUGAACUCGCUCCAACAUUAUGGUAGUCUUCAGAGGCUGUGGUUCUAGUGCCCCCACCUUUCUGAGAUUAGGCAGAUGACAUCCCAGGAGAUGACAUUCUCAGUCAUGGCACCAAAACUCUGGAACUCUCUCUCCAGGAAAAUUCGUCUGUCCACUUCAGUUAUCCUCUUCCACCAUUGUGUUUUGUUUGGCAAUGAUCUCUCCUUCCUAACCAAUGUUUUGAUGUUUUGCAUGCAUUUAAACUGUCUUGUAUGUAUUUUAACUCUGUUUUUCAAUUCUUGUUAAAGAUGUUUUAAUUAUAUAUGUUUUAUAUUUUUUCUUAAUAAUGGUUUCAUAAUGUAUGUUUUUAUUAUAAUGGUUUUAUAAUGUAAUUUUAUCAAGUAGAUUUUAAAUUACCUUGACAGCUCUUGCAUGGGCAGAAAGGCAGGAUAUAAAUUUGUAAAUAAAAUAAUAAUAAUACAAGUAUUUUAUCAUGUUCUCCUUCUGAGGCACUUUGGUUUGCCUUUAGAGAUUUUGUCCUCACAACAGCCCUUUAAGGCAGGCUGUGCUGAAAGACAGUGACUGGACUAAAUUCAUAAGAAUGGUUGAAAAAGUAAAUGGGGAGGGUGGGUUAGAGCAGUGAUAUGGGGAACUGGAAAACUUGGCAUGUAAAGAAACUUAGGAUGGCUGCAUGAUGAAAAAUAAGGAAUCUGGAAGAAGAGACAAGGCUUCAUUACUGGAGGACCAUUGGGGAUAGCAGACUGUGCAGCUAGCAGAGGGUCAGCAAGUCAAGAUCAGUAUGUCAUUCUUGACUCCUUGGGAGAGCGUUAACCAGCAGAUGGCUGCAGGUGACUGCUGUUCAGUGAAAGGCAUGUUUGAUUCAAGGCAAUACUUCACUCACUGGGAUAUUCUAAGACCCUGUGGAAUUGAGUAAGAUCCUACUGGGCCCUGGUGUCAGCAGACAAAGAGUUACUCAGUGGGUUGAGGCUGGAGAGUAAUCCCUUCACGAGUAGACCACGAAGGAAAUACAUUCAGCAACAGUUAAUCCACGGGAAGACCUUCCACAAGUGUCACAGGCAGCAAUGUUCUUUGCAAUUGCUUUGUCGUUUAAUAUAACUUUUUAAACACUGUAGAAACUCGCUCAGAGCCUUUUGGAUGAAGCAAGAUCGAAACUGAAGAAAAAUAAAUUUGCCAAAAGGUUGGCCACCACCGAAUUAAGUAAUUAAUCCAAAACUGUGGGUGAGCAAGCAACAUUUGUUUCCUUCCAGUGACAAAACAAAUGUACCAGAAAGGUAAAUUAUAUGCAAAUCUGUUCCAUGGCAACUGUUCUAUUUGAACAUCUAAUAAUACUGACCUGUUCCAGAACACUUCACGUUUCUGUCGAGGACAUGUCAGGGCUCUUUCAUCUUUGCCUGCUAGACUGAGUAUUUCAUGUGGCACAUUGAAAAUUCUUUUCCUUCUUGUUUCUUCUGUCCUCAGUAGUGUAUCAGGCAGAUUGUCCCAGCUUGACACAGUCCUUGACAAGACUGUGUGGGUGAAAAAUAUUGUCUCUGCAGCCUCCAAUGGUAUUAGUGGCAACAAAAACCCAUCAUUCUCUGCUUUAUGAAAAAUAAAGCAGAAGAGAUAAUCUUUGUAAUUGCAAACUUUGAUGAUGCAAUUACAUUCUGGAACUGAAAGGCACAAAAAGUAAACAUUUAAUUUUGUGAGUCAUCCCUGAAGUUACAUUUUCAGUUCAUCAGGAUUACACCAAAUGCAAACUUUAUUUAAAAUGAAUACAUGAAUUUGGGGACUUUUUUUUAGACUUGCAGCCCAAUGUAUACAUUUUAAUUUGGAUACUGAAAAGGCCCUUGUCCACAGGAAAAUCUCAAAACAAAGCACCUUUUAUUAGCAUCAAACCAAUAUAUAAACAUUUUGGGUUUUCCAGAA